UCUUUAUUUAAGAAAACAAAAUGGAUGUACACCAUCUAAAUUCUGCUCUAAACCUAACAAAAAAAGCCAAAAUAAUGUAUGCACAAAAAUUUCUACUUGUGUUGCUCUUAGCUUUUUGUCUUCUUUCUUCUCAAUUCAUUGCUUCAACACCUGGGAAAUGUAACUGGAAAGGUCCUUGCAAAACCGAGAAUGACUGCAA